AAGUCGAUCGAUGAAUGAUGAUAAUGAUGAUGAUGGGAUGGGAGCCCAUAAAGAAGGCUCCAAUCUAGGUUCUUCCACUACUACAGCGCCUACCGGUCAUGACGAUUUGACGAUAAGCAUGUGGAGUGCUGGUGGCCGCGUUACUGGUUGUGCAUUUCAUGACGCCUAACAACAAUGACGGCCAGUAAGCAACGAACAGAAAAGUGCGAAACGGAUCUUCGGACCGUAAUCGGAGGUUCUCUCUCUCUCUCCUCGCAUGACCGCGGCGCACGUCAUCGCUUCCGGUUUUUGAAGGAUUUAGGUUGUCAAAAAAGUCAUGACGCACUUUUCGCAGGUUAAUGGACAACGUCAAGGGUGGCAGAUGGGGAAGGUGGAAGGAAGGAACCGAGUGUGCAAAUUCACUGUUGAUCCGCGGGAGUGGAACAACGCGCAAGAACUUUGUGAGGUUUUGUGUUAGAAGAAGAGAAUUGCAGAAGCGAUUAAUCAUGGCGUAAUUUUGGUUUUGCUUACGCUUUUAUUUACUUUUUGCAUGAAACAUCGUAUUGUGUUACGGGGGGAGGGGUUUCAAUCUUUAGCUUUUGGUUGGCUCAUUUUUUACUUGGGCUGUAGCGAAGAAGCGAGAACGAAACAGGCAAGCAGCUUCUUUGUGUCACGUAAAACAAUUGUCAUUUUUAAUGGAUUUCUAUUAAUAACUUCAAGUAGCGUUUGUUCCAGAUGAACUAUUUUAGGGAUGCUUUCUAGCAGGAUCUAACAAAAAAUCCUAAACCAAAUCCCAUCCCUCUUCCGUCAUCGGUCCAGAGCGUUUGAUUGAGCGCGGGUCAAUUAAUUGCCGACAGACGUCACACAGCAAAGCACCAUCGUGACCAAGCACAUUACGCCUGGACACAAGCAGUGUUUUGAGGUAACCUUAACUGCCCGCCGCGCACUGUAUCCGCAUUCCCUUUGCGCUAAUGAACCGUCGUCGUCGUCGAAAUGUGAUUAUUUUAUUCCCGUUAAUUCAACCGCCCGCAAUGUGCAAUUUUACACUCAUCGUGCAACGGAAGGUGUUUUUCUACGCUGGCAAAUCCUCAUAUAACCCCGAGUCUAGUCGAGGAUAUGGAUAGUUGUGUUUUGCUGCGUUGUCAGUGUAGAUAUUUUCCAUUACUCACGCGGGGGAUCCCCGCGGACAGUUUUCGGUACACAGCACCAUACGGUUUUUUGUUUUGCGGCGCAAUGUGAAAAUGGUGUCAAGUUUCGUAGAAUUGUAAACAGAAAAACCGAUGAGAAAAUGCAGCUAAUAUCCGGCAGUAGAGGUGGCACGAUUGCACCACCAGAACCGUCGACCGCAGCGAAGAUGUUAAACGCGUUCACAAACAAACAAAAAAAAAAAAAACGACGAC